rnacentral:rRNA from 1 species
UACGGGGGGGGCAAGCGUUGUUCGGAAUUACUGGGCGUAAAGGGCUCGUAGGCGGCCAACUAAGUCGGACGUGAAAUCCCUCGGCUUAACUCCGAAACUGCAUUCGAUACUGGCGUGCUUGAGGACUGGAGAGGAGACUGGAAUUCAUGGUGUAGCAGUGAAAUGCGCAGAUAUCAGGAGGAACACCGGUGGCGAAGGCGGGUCUCUGGGCCGAUACUGACGCUGAGGAGCGAAAGCGUGGGGAGCGAACAGG